GGGGCGUUAGCUCAGUUGGGAGAGCGCUUGCUUUGCAAGCAAGAGGUCACCGGUUCGAGCCCGGUACGCUCCA
rnacentral:tRNA from 1 species